CCUACGGGUGGCUGCAGUGAGGAAUAUUGGUCAAUGGCCGAGAGGCUGAACCAGCCAAGUCGCGUGAGGGAAGAAUGUCCUAUGGAUUGUAAACCUCUUUUGUCAGGGAGCAAAGUCACCCACGUGUGGGUGUUUGCGAGUACCUGAUGAAAAAGCAUCGGCUAACUCCGUGCCAGCAGCCGCGGUAAUACGGAGGAUGCGAGCGUUAUCCGGAUUUAUUGGAUUUAAAGGGUGCGUAGGCGGGUUAUCAAGUCAGCGGUAAAAGCGUGGAGCUCAACUCAAUCGGGCCGUUGAAACUGAGGAUCUUGAGUGUGCGAGAAGUAGGCGGAAUGCGUGGUGUAGCGGUGAAAUGCAUAGAUAUCACGCAGAACUCCGAUUGCGAAGGCAGCAUACCGGGGCCCGACUGACGCUGAAGCACGAAAGCGUGGGGAUCGAACAGGAUUAGAUACCCUUGUAGUC
rnacentral:rRNA from 1 species